rnacentral:rRNA from 1 species
CAGCCAUCAUUUAAAGAGUGCGUAAUAGCUCACUAGUCGAGUGACACUGCGCCGAAAAUGUACCGGGGCUAAACAUAUUACCGAAGCUGUGGAUUGUCCUUUGGACAAUGGUAGGAGAGCGUUCUAAGGGCGUCGAAGCAUGAUCGCAAGGACAUGUGGAGCGCUUAGAAGUGAGAAUGCCGGUGUGAGUAGCGAAAGACGGGUGAGAAUCCCGUCCACCGAUUGACUAAGGUUUCCAGAGGAAGGCUCGUCCGCUCUGGGUUAGUCGGGUCCUAAGCUGAGGCCGACAGGCGUAGGCGAUGGAUAACAGGUUGAUAUUCCUGUACCACCUAGUAUCGUUUUAAUCGAUGGGGGGACGCAGUAGGAUAGGCGAAGCGUGCUGUUGGAGUGCACGUCCAAGCAGUAAGGCUGAGUGUUAGGCAAAUCCGGCACUCAUAAGGCUGAGCUGUGAUGGGGAGAGGAAAUUGUUUCCUCGAGUCGUUGAUUUCACACUGCCGAGAAAAGCCUCUAGAUAGAUAACAGGUGCCCGUACCGCAAACCGACACAGGUAGUCAAGAUGAGAAUUCUAAGGUGAGCGAGCGAACUCUCGUUAAGGAACUCGGCAAAAUGACCCCGUAACUUCGGGAGAAGGGGUGCUCUUUAGGGUUCACGCCCAGAAGAGCCGCAGUGAAUAGGCCCAAGCGACUGUUUAUCAAAAACACAGGUCUCUGCUAAACCGUAAGGUGAUGUAUAGGGGCUGACGCCUGCCCGGUGCUGGAAGGUUAAGAGGAGUGGUUAGCUUCUGCGAAGCUACGAAUCGAAGCCCCAGUAAACGGCGGCCGUAACUAUAACGGUCCUAAGGUAGCGAAAUUCCUUGUCGGGUAAGUUCCGACCCGCACGAAAGGCGUAACGAUUUGGGCACUGUCUCAACGAGAGACUCGGUGAAAUCAUAGUACCUGUGAAGAUGCAGGUUACCCGCGACAGGACGGAAAGACCCCGUGGAGCUUUACUGUAGCCUGAUAUUGAAAUUCGGCACAGCUUGUACAGGAUAGGUAGGAGCCUUUGAAACGUGAGCGCUAGCUUACGUGGAGGCGUUGGUGGGAUACUACCCUAGCUGUGUUGGCUUUCUAACCCGCACCACUUAUCGUGGUGGGAGACAGUGUCAGGCGGGCAGUUUGACUGGGGCGGUCGCCUCCUAAAAGGUAACGGAGGCGCUCAAAGGUUCCCUCAGAAUGGUUGGAAAUCAUUCAUAGAGUGUAAAGGCAUAAGGGAGCUUGACUGCGAGACCUACAAGUCGAGCAGGGUCGAAAGACGGACUUAGUGAUCCGGUGGUUCCGCAUGGAAGGGCCAUCGCUCAACGGAUAAAAGCUACCCCGGGGAUAACAGGCUUAUCUCCCCCAAGAGUUCACAUCGACGGGGAGGUUUGGCACCUCGAUGUCGGCUCAUCGCAUCCUGGGGCUGUAGUCGGUCCCAAGGGUUGGGCUGUUCGCCCAUUAAAGCGGUACGCGAGCUGGGUUCAGAACGUCGUGAGACAGUUCGGUCCCUAUCCGUCGUGGGCGUAGGAAAUUUGAGAGGAGCUGUCCUUAGUACGAGAGGACCGGGAUGGACAUACCUCUGGUGUACCAGUUGUCGUGCCAACGGCAUAGCUGGGUAGCUAUGUAUGGACGGGAUAAGUGCUGAAAGCAUCUAAGCAUGAAGCCCCCCUCAAGAUGAGAUUUCCCAACUUCGGUUAUAAGAUCCCUCGAAGAUGACGAGGUUAAUAGGUUCGAGGUGGAAGCGUGGUGACACGUGGAGCUGACGAAUACUAAUCGAUCGAAGACUUAAUCAAUUUUUAAA